UUUAUUUUAAAAAUGUAUUAUAAAAAAACCUCCUCCCCCCCCCCCAUUACACAUACUGCCCCACAAACACUAUCCCCAUACACACACACUGCCCCCCUGUAAUGGGGCAGUGUGUGUAAUGGGGGGGGGGGGAGGCUUUUUAAUAAUAAUUAAUAAAAAAAAAUUAAAAAUUUAAUAAAAUAAAUAUGUCCCCCCUCCCUUCUUACCUUUAUUGAGCAGGAGGGGGGACAU